GAGGGUAUAGCUCAGUGGUAGAGCAUGUGCUUAGCAUGUAUGAGGUCCUGGGUUCAAUCCCCACUACCUCCA
rnacentral:tRNA from 1 species